UGUGAGCUCGAUGAGUAGGGCGGGACACGUGGUAUCCUGUCUGAAUAUGGGGGGACCAUCCUCCAAGGCUAAAUACUCCUGACUGACCGAUAGUGAACCAGUACCGUGAGGGAAAGGCGAAAAGAACCCCGGCGAGGGGAGUGAAAAAGAACCUGAAACCGUGUACGUACAAGCAGUGGGAGCCUCUUAAUGGGGUGACUGCGUACCUUUUGUAUAAUGGGUCAGCGACUUAUAUUCUGUAGCAAGGUUAACCGAAUAGGGGAGCCGAAGGGAAACCGAGUCUUAACUGGGCGUUAAGUUGCAGGGUAUAGACCCGAAACCCGGUGAUCUAGCCAUGGGCAGGUUGAAGGUUGGGUAACACUAACUGGAGGACCGAACCGACUAAUGUUGAAAAAUUAGCGGAUGACUUGUGGCUGGGGGUGAAAGGCCAAUCAAACCGGGAGAUAGCUGGUUCUCCCCGAAAGCUAUUUAGGUAGCGCCUCGUGAAUUCAUCUCCGGGGGUAGAGCACUGUUUCGGCAAGGGGGUCAUCCCGACUUACCAACCCGAUGCAAACUGCGAAUACCGGAGAAUGUUAUCACGGGAGACACACGGCGGGUGCUAACGUCCGUCGUGAAGAGGGAAACAACCCAGACCGCCAGCUAAGGUCCCAAAGUCAUGGUUAAGUGGGAAACGAUGUGGGAAGGCCCAGACAGCCAGGAUGUUGGCUUAGAAGCAGCCAUCAUUUAAAGAAAGCGUAAUAGCUCACUGGUCGAGUCGGCCUGCGCGGAAGAUGUAACGGGGCUAAACCAUGCACCGAAGCUGCGGCAGCGACACUAUGUGUUGUUGGGUAGGGGAGCGUUCUGUAAGCCUGUGAAGGUGGCCUGUGAGGGUUGCUGGAGGUAUCAGAAGUGCGAAUGCUGACAUAAGUAACGAUAAAGCGGGUGAAAAGCCCGCUCGCCGGAAGACCAAGGGUUCCUGUCCAACGUUAAUCGGGGCAGGGUGAGUCGACCCCUAAGGCGAGGCCGAAAGGCGUAGUCGAUGGGAAACAGGUUAAUAUUCCUGUACUUGGUGUUACUGCGAAGGGGGGACGGAGAAGGCUAUGUUGGCCGGGCGACGGUUGUCCCGGUUUAAGCGUGUAGGCUGGUUUUCCAGGCAAAUCCGGAAAACCAAGGCUGAGGCGUGAUGACGAGGCACUACGGUGCUGAAGUGACAAAUGCCCUGCUUCCAGGAAAAGCCUCUAAGCAUCAGGUAACAUCAAAUCGUACCCCAAACCGACACAGGUGGUCAGGUAGAGAAUACCAAGGCGCUUGAGAGAACUCGGGUGAAGGAACUAGGCAAAAUGGUGCCGUAACUUCGGGAGAAGGCACGCUGAUAUGUAGGUGAAGCGACUUGC
rnacentral:rRNA from 1 species